rnacentral:lncRNA from 1 species
AUAUAACUGCCCUUAAAGACAUUUGAUACGUCAUGCAUAGAAAGAUUAUUAUGAUGUUUUUAUCAGCUGUUUGGACUCUGACGGCACCCAUUCACUGCAGAGGAUCCAUUAGUGAGCAAGUGAUGGAAUGCUACAUUUCUCCAGAUCUCUUCAGAUGAAGAAACAAAGUCUUAGAUGGCCUGAGGGGUCUUUGAUGUGGUCAACACCAGCACAUCAACCUCAUUUUAACACAUCUGUUACCCACAACAGCCAUGGAAAAGGCUUUCUGAACUCAUCAGGAUGUCAAGGCAAGCAUCACUGUUAUUAUUGUACAUACUCAGGGUUAGGAUUUAAGCAUAUGUCUAAUUGGUGUGUAGCUCGACCCAUAGUGUUUGUGCCACAUUGACAAACCACUACCAAUGAGAUUUGUAUUGGCACCACUCAAUCCUAAAAAAAAAAGUAAAUAUGUAGUUUCUUCAAGACCCGGUGAUAAUAAAACUGGAGUUUUGUAGCUGCUAAUUAAUGUCUAUUAUAGCUUAUUAUAAUUAAUACUGUUCAAAAGCUUUGGGUCAAAGAAGAAAGUCUUUGAUCAAACAUACAGUAACAACAGUAAAAUUGCAAAAUAUUAUUACAAUUUAAAAUAACUGUUUUCUAUUUGAAUAUAUUUUCU